rnacentral:rRNA from 1 species
CCGUACGAGCGCACCCUUGUCCUUAGUUGCCAACAUAUAAUGGUGGGAACUCUAGAGAGACUGCCGGUGAAACCCGGAGGAAGGUGGAACUCGUCUCUCGGCCCUUUAGUCGGGGCUACCGUUCUACGGUGGGGGUGAGGGGGCCCCCCGCGGGACCAAUCCUAAUAGAUGCGANCUGGGGGUUGAAUUCCGAUCUGGAUCUCUUAUCGAUUCACAGUGCCGGUGAAUAUUUCCCGGGUUGUACACCCCCCAUAAA